UACAGAGGUCCCAAGCGUUGUUCGGAAUCACUGGGCUUAAAGGGCGCGUAGGCGGAUCAUCAAGUCCGGGGUGAAAUCUUUCGGCUUAACCGGAAAAGUGCCUUGGAUACUGGUGGUCUCGAGUGAGGUAGGGGCAUGUGGAACUUCUGGUGGAGCGGUGAAAUGCGUUGAUAUCAGAAGGAACUCCGGUGGCGAAAGCGAGCUGCUGGACCUCUGCUGACGCUGAGGCGCGAAAGCCAGGGGAGCAAACGGG
rnacentral:rRNA from 1 species